rnacentral:rRNA from 1 species
GCUCAACCGAGGAAGUGCUUCGAAAACUGGUAAACUUGAGUGCAGAAGAGGAAAGUGGAACUCCAUGUGUAGCGGUGGAAUGCGUAGAUAUAUGGAAGAACACCAGUGGCGAAGGCGGCUUUCUGGUCCGUAACUGACGCUGAGAUUCGAAAGCAUGGGUAGCAAACAGGAUUAGAUACCCUGGUAGUCCAUGCCGUAAACGAUGAGUGCUAAGUGUUGGAGGGUUUCCGCCCUUCAGUGCUGCAGCUAACGCAUUAAGCACUCCGCCUGGGGAGUACGACCGCAAGGUUGAAACUCAAAGGAAUUGACGGGGGCCCGCACAAGCGGUGGAGCAUGUGGUUUAAUUCGAAGCAACGCGAAGAACCUUACCAGGUCUUGACAUACCAUGAAAAGCUUAGAGAUAAGUCUUUCCCUUCGGGGACAUGGAUACAGGUGGUGCAUGGUUGUCGUCAGCUCGUGUCGUGAGAUGUUGGGUUAAGUCCCGCAACGAGCGCAACCCUUAUUAUCAGUUGCCAGCAUUCAGUUGGGCACUCUGGUGAGACUGCCGGUGACAAACCGGAGGAAGGUGGGGACGACGUCAAAUCAUCAUGCCCCUUAUGACCUGGGCUACACACGUGCUACAAUGGUCGGUACAACG